GGGGAUCUGCCCGAUAGAGGGGGAUAACCACUGGAAACGGUGGCUAAUACCGCAUAACGUCGCAAGACCAAAGAGGGGGACCUUCGGGCCUCUCACUAUCGGAUGAACCCAGAUGGGAUUAGCUAGUAGGCGGGGUAAUGGCCCACCUAGGCGACGAUCCCUAGCUGGUCUGAGAGGAUGACCAGCCACACUGGAACUGAGACACGGUCCAGACUCCUACGGGAGGCAGCAGUGGGGAAUAUUGCACAAUGGGCGCAAGCCUGAUGCAGCCAUGCCGCGUGUAUGAAGAAGGCCUUCGGGUUGUAAAGUACUUUCAGCGGGGAGGAAGGCGAUGGGGUUAAUAACCUUAUCGAUUGACGUUACCCGCAGAAGAAGCACCGGCUAACUCCGUGCCAGCAGCCGCGGUAAUACGGAGGGUGCAAGCGUUAAUCGGAAUUACUGGGCGUAAAGCGCACGCAGGCGGUCUGUUAAGUCAGAUGUGAAAUCCCCGGGCUUAACCUGGGAACUGCAUUUGAAACUGGCAGGCUUGAGUCUUGUAGAGGGGGGUAGAAUUCCAGGU
rnacentral:rRNA from 1 species